UCAGCGGCGGACGGCGGAGUAACACGUAGCUAACCUACCCCUUGGACGGGGAUAACUCACCGAAAGGUGGGCUAAUACCCGAUGAAGCCCUUAUCUGAGAUGGUGAGGGUUAAAGGUGGGCCUCUGCGGAAGCAAGCUCAUGCCAGGGGAGGGGGCUGCGGCCUAUCAGGUAGUUGGUGGGGUAAGAGCCCACCAAGCCUAUGACGGGUAGCCGGCCUGAGAGGGUGACCGGCCCGAGGGGCACUGAGACACGGGCCCCACUCCUACGGGAGGCAGCAGGCUAGAAAAUUGGGCAAUGGGGGAAACCCUGACCCAGCGACGCCGCGUGCAGGAAGAAGCCCUUCGGGGUGUAAACUGCUGUCGUGCGGGACGAAGGGCUCAUAGGUGAAUAAUCUAUGGGCUUGACGGUACCGCAGGAGGAAGCCCAGGCUAACCUCGUGCCAGCAGCCGCGGUAAUACGGGGUGGGCAAGCGUUGCCCGGAAUUACUGGGUUUAAAGGGGGUGUAGGCGGCCGGGAGAGUCAGGUGUGUAAUCCAACCGCUCAACGGUUGGGCUGCAUCUGAUACUUCCUGGCUAGAGGGCGUUAGAGGAGAGCGGAACUCCCGGUGUAGCGGUGAAAUGCGUAGAUAUCGGGAGGAACGCCGGUGGCGAAGGCGGCUCUCUGGGGCGUUCCUGACGCUGAGGCCCGAAAGCUGGGGGAGCGAAAGGGAUUAGAUACCCCUGUAGUCCCAGCCGUAAACGAUGGGCACUAGACGUUCCCCUGUAAGGGGGAGUGUCGAAGGGAAACUGAUAAGUGCCCCACCUGGGGAGUACGCCCGCAAGGGUGAAACUCAAAAGGAAUUGACGGGGGCCCGCACAAGCGGUGGAGCGCGUGGUUUAAUUCGACGCUAAGCGAAGAACCUUACCUGGGCUUGACAUGUUGGGUGGUACCCUUGGUGGAAACACUGGGGGGACCUCCCCCCAAGGGAGGACCCAGCACAAGGGCUUGCACGGCUUGUCGUCAAGUCCGUGCCCGUGAAGGUGUUGGGGUUAAGU
rnacentral:rRNA from 1 species